GGGUGGGUGGUUAGGGCUGGGAAACAGGUAGGAGGAGGCAUUAGUUUCCUCCCCUCUUGUCCCUUACUUUUUCCCCUGUUGGCCUCACCUAAAAGAGUGGAGAGAGAUGAGAAGUCUUCUGUCCGUCACUGCCAACGAAAGAGAAAGAAAGUGGCAUGGUCAGCAUGUACAAGUGGAAAAGAAGUGUGUCAUUUGCGGGCUUUGGAUGGAUUGACAAGUCCGGCAUUGCCACCCUGAGAGCCCGAAAUGGAAGGACGGAGAGGGAGAAACAGAAAUAGAGAGACCGAGAGGGAGAGAGCAGUGUAUUUUGGAAGCACCUCUCACCGCUUAAGAUGCCUCGCAAAAUCUGGUGAGUUUUUCUGGGAUUCUUUUAUGGUUUUCCACAGGUUUCUGCUGAGUUUUGAGUAUUUUGUGUUGCAUUUGAAUUUUUUGCACUUGUGCAAUUCAGCGUGUUUU